rnacentral:misc_RNA from 1 species
UUUCCGUAGGUGAACCUGCGGAAGGAUCAUUACUGAGUGAGGGCCCUCUGGGUCCAACCUCCCACCCGUGUUUAUUAUACCUUGUUGCUUCGGUGAGCCCGCCUCACGGCCGCCGGGGGGCAUCUGCCCCCGGGCCCGCGCCCACCGGAGACGCCUAGAACUCUGUAUGAAGAUUGCAGUCUGAGCAAAAACUAAAUAAGUUAAAACUUUCAACAACGGAUCUCUUGGUUCCG